rnacentral:rRNA from 1 species
UCUUGCUCUGGCGGAUCAGUGGCGAACGGGUGAGUAACACGUGAGUAACCUGCCCCCGACUCUGGGAUAACUGCUAGAAAUGGUAGCUAAUACCGGAUAUGACGACUGGCCGCAUGGUCUGGUCGUGGAAAGAACUUCGGUUGGGGAUGGACUCGCGGCCUAUCAGGUAGUUGGUGAGGUAAUGGCUCACCAAGCCUACGACGGGUAGCCGGCCUGAGAGGGUGACCGGCCACACUGGGACUGAGACACGGCCCAGACUCCUACGGGAGGCAGCAGUGGGGAAUAUUGCACAAUGGGCGAAAGCCUGAUGCAGCAACGCCGCGUGAGGGAUGACGGCCUUCGGGUUGUAAACCUCUUUUAGUAGGGAAGAAGCGAAAGUGACGGUACCUGCAGAAAAAGCACCGGCUAACUACGUGCCAGCAGCCGCGGUAAUACGUAGGGUGCAAGCGUUGUCCGGAAUUAUUGGGCGUAAAGAGCUCGUAGGCGGUUUGUCGCGUCUGCUGUGAAAUCCCGAGGCUCAACCUCGGGUCUGCAGUGGGUACGGGCAGACUAGAGUGCGGUAGGGGAGAUUGGAAUUCCUGGUGUAGCGGUGGAAUGCGCAGAUAUCAGGAGGAACACCGAUGGCGAAGGCAGAUCUCUGGGCCGUAACUGACGCUGAGGAGCGAAAGCAUGGGGAGCGAACAGGAUUAGAUACCCUGGUAGUCCAUGCCGUAACGUUGGGAACUAGAUGUGGGCACCAUUCCACGGUCUCCGUGUCGCAGCUAACGCAUUAAGUUCCCCGCCCUGGGGAGUACGGGCCGCAAAGGCU